rnacentral:tRNA from 1 species
UCCCUGGUGACUCAUAUGGUAAAGAAUCUGCUUGUAAUGCAGGAGGCCCAGGUUUGAUCCCUGGGUUGGGAA